GUACUGAUGAAGAGUUUAAACUAAGACGAAACGGAUUUCCAGUAC
rnacentral:hammerhead_ribozyme from 1 species